rnacentral:lncRNA from 1 species
UUGCACUUAGCAGCUCUGAAAUUCAAAAUCCAAUGACAAGAAAUAGGCUAAAUAGGAAUUCAAUUAUGAACACUAUAUUUUAUUUAUUGAAAUGAUGGAACAGAUUUAUAAAUGUUUAGACCAAAAUUAUUCAUCUCAGAAACCAGAUGGAAAUAAAUUAAAAGUUCUCACUGAACAUUUAAGAAACUUUAUGGAUAUGGAUGAGAAAAUGAAUGAAAAGCAACCUGCAAUAUUAUUAAAAAGGCCAAUGUCUUUAAAUACAGAAAGAGAAUUAUCAAUGAAUGAAACAACAGUAUAGCUUGUGUCCAGUUUAUUGUCAGCCAUUUCAACCAAAAAGGAAUUAGUUUCCAAACAUUUUUUAAAUGGAAACCAAUUUUCUUCUAGUUGCCUUUGAAUUUUAAGCCUCUUCUCUUCCCAAAUGAAUGGUUAAAAUAUAUAUAUA